rnacentral:rRNA from 1 species
UACAGAGGUCUCAAGCGUUGUUCGGAUUCAUUGGGCGUAAAGGGUGCGUAGGUGGCGCCAUAAGUCAGGUGUGAAAUCUCGGGGCUCAACCUCGAAACUGCACUUGAUACUGUGGUGCUUGAGUACUGGAGAGGAGAUUGGAAUUUACGGUGUAGCAGUGAAAUGCGUAGAUAUCGUAAGGAAGACCAGUGGCGAAGGCG